rnacentral:rRNA from 1 species
AGCAGCCGCGGUAAUUCCAGCUCCAAUAGCGUAUAUUAAAGUUGUUGCAGUUAAAAGCUCGUAGUUGAAUUUCGGGAUCAAUACGUUGGUCGUGCUUCGGUACGUACUGGCGUAAUUGAUUUCUCCCUUCUGACGAACCAUGAUGUCAUUAACUUGGUGUCAUGGGAAAUCAGGACUGUUACUUUGAAAAAAUUAGAGUGUUUAAAGCAGGCUCACGCUUGAAUACAUUAGCAUGGAAUAAUGAAAUAGGACGUUCGAUCCUAUUUUGUUGGUUUUUAGGAUCAACGUAAUGAUUAAUAGGGAUGGUUGGGGGCAUUAGUAUUCAAUUGUCAGAGGUGAAAUUCUUGGAUUUAUUGAAGACUAACUACUGCGAAAGCAUUUGCCAAGGAUGUUUUCAUUAAUCAAGAACGAAAGUUAGGGGAUCGAAGACGAUCAGAUACCGUCGUAGUCUUAACCAUAAACUAUGCCGACUAGGGAUCGGAUGAUGUUAAUUUUUUUAAUGACUCAUUCGGC